rnacentral:SRP_RNA from 1 species
ACUGGGCGUGGUAACUCAUGCUUGUAACCCAAGUGGGAGUAUUAAAGUGUUGGAAAGGAUAUUGGUCCGGUGGCUUUGGUGGGGGUUGAGGCUUCAAGCAGCCUUGAAGGGAGUGCCCUUACUCUAAUGUUA